ensembl:lncRNA
AAACCACAGGUGAGUACUGACACAUUUUUGAUUCAUAAUUUAUAUUCAGAUCAGAUCUGCAGUGUCUUCACAUAUCAAAGUGCAGAAAUGAUGAGGAAUAUCUUCUACGCAUGCGCUGUUGACUGAUUAUACCAAAAACUGGGAUGAAAAGCAUCAUAAUUCAUGGUAUGUCCCAUCAUCUCUUUGGCCCAGCAGGCAGCGGUGGAAUCAAUAAGGCAGCUCAACCAGUGGAGGGCACCUACACAACAUCACACACAGACCAGAGCCACAGGAACUCCUGCAGGAAGUUACAGGCCUGCCUGAUCUCAAACAAAAGCUCUCUGUUAGGUGCUUGAAACCAUAGCGCUCUUGGAGCCAACCUUGGGUGACGAGAUUAGAAGUGCCAGUCCAGGAUCUGUUCAGCUCGGCCGGUGGGGUCAGGCAGUACAGCGGGUGGCUGCUGUACAUGGAGACUGUGCUCGGACCAUAUGGAAAAGGACGGACCACCACGGUUGUAUCCUAUGGCNUUUUUUAAUUUAUUGUAUAUUAUUAAAUUGUCAAAAUAGUCAUUAAAAUCACUAAUUUUUACUUUUUAUAAUUUUUCAUGUAUUAUUUUAUAUUGCUUUUAUUUUGAUUGUAAAAUAUUAAAAGAGCUAAAAAUGUAUUGUAUAUGUGUAUGCAUGUAUGUGUACAAUAAGUAGAACACAAAAAUCCACUCAGUGGACCACAGGAGAGCAUGUAGGAAGCAAGAGGUGAGUUCUACUGUGGUCCUGCUCAAACACAGAUUAAACCACACACACACACACACACACACACAAGCAUACACACAUGCACAUACAGACGUGCGUAUUUUCUCAUACAGAUUCCUGUUCUGUUCUCAGAUUUCAGCUUCAUCCAGAGCUCUGUUAGGACUUUUUGUCUCAGUGGUCACGAGCCACCUCUGAUCGUCCUGAAGGAGCCAUUCUGUUUAGAAACUCGAUCUGGCUGAAAUUACUGCCGUACUGGAUUUUGGGUCCCUGAAUCACUCUGUAAUUAAUCACCGUGGGCCAAAUUUAAUAUGUCCUAUAGCAGGACAGAGGAACAAUGCGGACAGGUGAACAUUAAACUUGAUCAGAGGGUCAGACUAGUUCUCAUUUCCUGCCAGAGGUCUCAAAUGAAUGUUCGCCACCGAUGUUAAACAACCACAGAAUGAUUAUUGUGUUGCCAAAUGUAAUAUUAUUUAAUUUACUUUUUAGUUGGUGUUAGUUUUUGUAGAGUACCUGCACACAAUUCUUGUGUCUAAUGAAAGCGUCACAGUAGGGCCUACAGUAAGACUAUUGUUUUUUAGCCUACACAUUUUCUGAAAUGUUAUGUUUACAUAUGUAGAUGAGCCAAAUGUAUCUAAUUAAAUAUGCUCUAAUUUGCAUAGAAUUCCAGAACCAAAUCAUAUUUAAUAUUUAAUAUUUUUAUUUUAAAUACGUUUCAUUUUGUUGUGUUUUUGGAUACAUUUUUUUGAGAUUUUGCCAAUGUUAUCUUUUUUUAUCACUCCAUAAAUCAGAAAAUACUAUCAACAGCCAAAAAUCUGUCAAAUUAUAGGCUAUAUUAACUUUUAUUUUAUUUGUUUUUUUUUUUAAACGGCCUUUAAAGAUAUGAAUUGUAGGGACGCGGAUAAUAAACAGUUAAGUUAAAUGUGUAUUUUGGAUAUUUUCUUUCUCCAGUCUGAAAGAACGCAUGUAACGGAAGCUAAAUUUUAAACAAGUGUUUGCAACAGAACGACAUAAAAUCUUUGCGUUCCAUAAACAGUAACAGCAUUUUGGUGAACUGUUUCUUUAAGAACGUUUUGAAACUCUUUGAAUGAAUGACAAAGAAAUGAAUUAAAUAAAUGAAAAGAAAAGUGAGUGUGGACAGAACUUAUCACACACCGGUCUCGACCUCAGUAAAGCCAAACACAGUGUUGAAAUCUGGAUUGGCAUUCAAAGGAUUGUAAACAGAUGCUGAUAAUGAGUUUCCAGAUAACAGACACUUUUAUGAAUGUGUCUUUUGGAGCUUGAAUGGGUUUUUAUCUCGCUGUUAGUUUUGGAUAUUAAGCAAACAGUAAUGCGCUUGCGUCUUAUAUUACAUGCAAAAGCCGUCGACUGAGUGUGUCGUGUUUGUCCGUAGCCUAAAAGGUAGGUCUUUUCUCACAGAUAUCAGACACUAGAUCGGAGUUGUUGUUUAAACCCUCUUACGUCUUAAAUUAAAGUAGGCAUAUAAUAUUUCUAAAGGCUCCUCUCGCCCUUCCGGCCUGUUGGGAAAGUGGGCCGCGGGGGAAGCUAAUGCACUGUGAGGGUCAAGCUUCACUGGCCGUCUCCAUUUUGAAACCCUGCCUUUGGUUUCUUUGGCCUACUGUAAGUUUGGGGUGACGGGAACAUUUGCACACAGAGACCUUAAGUCACGCUCGGACAGGCGGCCCGCGAGCGCUUUGUCCGGAGCUGUUUGGUGGUUUUUGUUUGUGGUACACCUUCCUCUUCCUCCUCAUCCUCUCGUUUGUCCACCCCAGGGCCAGGUUAAGACCACGAGAUGUAAUGCGAGAUUGUGUCGUGCUCCAAAGACCCGGUGGAUACACACGUUGAAACUUAACUCUUUCUCUGGGUAAGGGUAAAGGAAUCAAGUCCGCGGUUAAAUCUUUUUUUAAAAAUUAAGACAUCAGAACUUAGAUAAGACUUUCUUUCUCUUGACUAAAAACUGCUGAAAUAUGAUCCAUUCAUUCAUAAGGCCAUUCACACCAUCUG